rnacentral:rRNA from 1 species
GUGGGGAAUAUUGGGCAAUGGGCGAAAGCCUGACCCAGCAACGCCGCGUGAAGGAAGAAGGUCUUCGGAUCGUAAACUUCUAUCCUUGGUGAAGAUAAUGACGGUAGCCGAGAAGGAAGCCCCGGCUAACUACGUGCCAGCAGCCGCGGUAAUACGUAGGGGGCAAGCGUUGUCCGGAAUGAUUGGGCGUAAAGGGCGCGUAGGCGGCCUGGUAAGUCUGGAGUGAAAGUCCUGCUUUUAAGGUGGGAAUUGCUUUGGAUACUGUCGGGCUUGAGUGCAGGAGAGGUAAGUGGAAUUCCCGGUGUAGCGGUGAAAUGCGUAGAGAUCGGGAGGAACACCAGUGGCGAAGGCGACUUACUGGACUGUAACUGACGCUGAGGCGCGAAAGUGUGGGGAGCAAACAGGAUUAGAAACCCGUGUAGUCC